rnacentral:rRNA from 1 species
GACGAACGCUGGCGGCGUGCUUAACACAUGCAAGUGGAGCGACGAACCAGGCUUCGGCCUGGGGCAGAGCCGCGAACGGGUGAGUAACACGUGGGUAACCUGCCUCGAUGACCGGGACAACCCGGGGAAACCCGGGCUAAUACCGGAUGUGCUGCCUUCACAUCAGUGGAGACAGGAAAGAAGCUUCGGCCUCCGCAUCGAGAUGGGCCCGCGGCCCAUUAGCUUGNGGUGAGGUAAUGGCUCACCAAGGCCGCGAUGGGUAGCUGGUCUGAGAGGACGAUCAGCCACACUGGGACUGAGACACGGCCCAGACUCCUACGGGAGGCAGCAGUGGGGAAUCUUGCGCAAUGCGCGAAAGCGU